GUAGUUUCAGCAACUUCACUA
rnacentral:piRNA from 1 species